rnacentral:snoRNA from 1 species
AUACCAUGAUGAUGACAUUUUCUGAGUAAUUCCUUAAAUCUUUCCCAUGCGUCGUACAAACUUUCAUCCUCAAGUUAAUGGAAAAAUGUUAUUUCAUUCCUCAAUUU